ACAGGGAUUGCCCUAGUAACGGCGAGUGAAGCGGCAACAGCUCAAAUUUGAAAUCUGGCUCUUUUAGGGUCCGAGUUGUAAUUUGCAGAGGGCGCUUUGGCGUUGGCAGCGGUCCAAGUUCUUUGGAACAGGACGUCACAGAGGGUGAGAAUCCCGUACGUGGUCGCUAGCCAUCACCGUGUAAAGCCCCUUCGACGAGUCGAGUUGUUUGGGAAUGCAGCUCUAAAUGGGAGGUAAAUUUCUUCUAAAGCUAAAUACUGGCCAGAGACCGAUAGCGCACAAGUAGAGUGAUCGAAAGAUGAAAAGCACUUUGGAAAGAGAGUCAAAUAGCACGUGAAAUUGUUGAAAGGGAAGCGCUUGCAGCCAGACUUGCCUGUAGUUGCUUAUCUAGGCUUUUGUCUAGUGCACUCUUCUGCAGGCAGGCCAGCAUCAGUUUAGGCGGUUGGAUAAAGGUCUCUAUCACGUACCUCCCUUCGGGGUUGGCCUUAUAGGGGAGACGACAUGCAGCCAGCCUGAACUGAGGUCCGCGCAUCUGCUAGGAUGCUGGCGUAAUGGCUGUAAGCGGCCCGUCUUGAAACACGGACC
rnacentral:rRNA from 1 species